AAUUGCUUCGAGAGUGAUAAUCAUUUUUGCAGCUCAUUCACAAAAAAAAUUCUUCGAUUUCUCUUUUUUUUCGGAUUGUUCAUCCUGAAAUUUGCGUUUGUUUUCCUUCACUAAAUCCUAUUUAUCUUCUAAUAUGAUUCUCGUCUCCUUAAUUUCGGCGUCUGCGUCUCCGUCUCCGGUCGAGUUGAAUCAUCUAGAAGCUGUUUCGAUUUCGGCAAAGCUAUUUGAUCUUUGAGAAAAGGAUUGUCGGUCAUUUAGUUGAACGUGUGUUUCUCGACCAAGAACGCAAAAAUGGAGUGGUUUUCCUGGAGGAGGAAGUAGACUGCCAAUCCUAUGACAAUUUUGACCUUGAAGUCGGUAAACAUUUGGCCCUCGUCCUUUGUUCACCGAUGUGUCAAUUGUUCCACCCAUAGAUGUGAAUGCAAACAUUGAGUUGUAAGGUCGUAUAUUCUCCAUGAAAUUUUUGCUUCUUUCAUCACCUUUGAACAUGAGAUCUUUAAGAAUCUGGGGAAGUUCUGGUGGUGGUGCCAAAUCGAUCUUUCCAUGCAUACAACAAAGUGAGAACUUUGGUACAUGGAAAUCCAUUGCCAUUGCUCUUGCCGUUCUGUGUCGUCUCGUCAACGUUCGGUGUCGUCUCGUCCAAGUUUUGGUCCAAGUUAGUACUUGGAGCUGAAGCUGAAAAUAAGGUUGAUGUCAAGAGUAGAGAAUCAAUAAAUAUGGAAAUUUGACAGAAGUUAAAAACCUAUGAAGGAGGUAAUGGUGGAGAAACACUUGACAGGAUCCGGUGGUAGAAGAUGAUAACUGUCGAUUGUAAAAGUUAAUGGUGGGAACAAUACAAAAUAGAUAUUGAGAUCGUGGGGUCUGAGAUGUAUAUAAUGGUUGUUUUAAAAGCUGAAAGAUAAAAAAUUGGGACUUAAGCCAGGUGUCAUAUGGAG